rnacentral:sRNA from 1 species
UCAUUAUCGACUUAAUCCCUUCCAUACACCCAUCAAAUGUGAAAUGACCCCAUGGAAAUAUCUCGCAUGCAUGCACAUCAUCAACAAUCUUCAGCAAGAAACGCUCAAUGUUACCAUCAGCCUUUGAUUUCGCAACAAUCACCUUGCACAAAAAUAGCAAGAUAGCCACUUCUUUCUAUUCGCCUUCUUCCUUUCUCCACAAUCCUUCAUUUCAUUCAGCUUCUUUUCAACAUCAAUGAUUUUAAUCCCAAAUACCUUUUAAAGAUCUUUUUUGCAAACUUCAAUUAUGCAUCCAUGAUAUUCAUACUCGGCUGCAACUCCUCGGGUACUCAUGAAAAUGAAAACCACAUAAGAGCGCAUGCUCUUUAGUGAAGUACCUAAUAGGCACUCCAUUCACCACAAAACAGAACUCUCUAUCCAUCUCUGUCUGCACUGUACGAAGCAAAAGCAUCCACAUGCCUUGAGUAAUGUGGUUUUUCUCCUCAGGCAUGUGGAAUACAUGCCUAAACUUUGAAUGUGCCUUGAACCAUGACAAAUCUUCUAGAAACCCCUCUAAAUACUUCACUGUCUGCUGCACAGUGCAUCUCGUCUCUACCUUACACGUCAUCUGGUAUUCGCUUGGACCAAAGAACAUCCCCUAUGGCUGCAUUGGUUGUUCCUCAUCAUCAAUUUCCUGAAAAUUCAUAGACAAACAUAAAAUUUAAUAUUUCGCUAUACUACUUGUACUAGUUAUCUCAGACCAACAUUAUCAACUUUUCUCAGAAUUCAAUUUUCUAAUGCAAACCAAUGUAUGAUUGAUCACGUUAACGUAUAAAUCCAUGCACCAAUCACACAAAACAAUACUAUAAGUUGUAUUAAGUGUUUUCUAGUUGUCCUUAUAUACUACUUUCAGAAAUUAAUGUAUUUAACGAAGUGACUCAAAUGGCAAGUCAACAAAAACUUUGUCAUUUAUUUCGAAAGUCAACAAAAACUUUACGAUUUAUUUGUCUUCCGUGAAGUUCAUGAUUAAAUCGUCCCAAAUUUGAAAGUUUCUUGAUUUUUUUGACAUUUUUCCCAUUUAUAUACCUCAUAUUUUUCAUUUUCACAUUGGUUAAAGUUUUCCUCUUCCUCUUCUUCAAGGUUUUCUUCUUCUCCUUCUUUUUCCUCUUCCUCUUCUUCACAGUUUUCUUCUUCCAAUUUUUUUCCCACUUCCUCUUUUUUAGGGUUUUCUUCCAUCGCUUGAGGCUGCAUUGGUUCCUUAUCAUCAAUUUCCUUAAAAUUCAUUCACAA